UCUGGUUACAGGUAACCAACACUGCCAGAGUUAUUUCCAACAUCCUGGUAUUUAUGCGGUGCUGUCACUGAAGAAUCUUCCAGACGCCAUUUUCCCUCAGUUUCAGAAUAGCAACAGUAAGCUACCUCAGUGUUUGUACUUUAUAGACUUUCUGUAUGGAAAUACAGUUAUAAAUGUACUGUUAGUUAAAUGACUUAAGACGAAUUUUAAGUUUUGGCGGUUCAAUCGUGGUUGUUUGUGUAACGUUAGUUAGUUAGCCGAACUAAGCGGUACUUUCUUCACUUCUAUUCAAUACUGGCAGCUAUUAGAAUGUUAUUUUAAGUAAUUUAAUGUACGUGGGUGUGUUUAAAUGGCCACGUUUUGUGCACUCUCACAGACAUUAAGUAUAGUUGUAUGGCAUGGCCAUGUAACGUUACUUUGGACAUGGACAAGAAGUUUUUUUCUCCCGCAUGGUGCCUAAAACCAUAACAUUUACAUGUACACGGUAUUUCUGUCUCAGCAAAGGCUAUUUUGUGCGCUGUUACAAAUUAACAAAAUUACAAAUUAAUGAAAUGAACACUAAAAAGAAUAAAUUACAAAAAAUCGGCAGCUGGCAGCAGGAAGCGGCUGCCAUCGACAGCCGGAAGGGAGGAGGGACCUGCCACUCGGUAGCAGCCAAUCAGUAUCGACCAAUUUAGCAGCAACCAAUCAGAUGUAACUACGACAGACGCUAAACACUUCAGUAAUGGCGGCGAUUGUUCGAGCGGUAAGUUUGGAAAUUUGUGAUCGGAGUAAUGAAUAAUUGUUGCGUUGUAAGUUUGAAUUUUUAAAUUGUUAUCUUAGUGAACGACAAAGUGUAAAAGUGUUAAUUUGCCUACUUUAGUUUAAUUGUUCAAAUUAAUCUAAUUAGUGGUAGAAACGUAGUUUGUGGACCAUGUUACAUCAUAUAUAAUUGUUGCGCUUAGUAUGUUAGGGGGCUUCAAAUAUUGCGUUUACAAACUAUACACGUUCAACACUAACCAUAUCUUUUUGUAUGUUUAAUUUUUCAGGAGAAUGUCUGAUAUCCAUUAACAAAUUGAUUCUUUUUUCAUCUAACAAUAACAAUUGACCAAACAGUUCUUUUAAGAACUACUCUUCUUUCUCUGCCUUCUGUCUUCUUUCCCUUAUUUCUGUCUUCACCUUUUGUAUACCUGACUAUCGGUUAUGACAGGUGAGGCCAUUACAUUUCCAAAAUCUUACUAACAUAAGUUAAUUUGAACAGAACAUGCAAAAACUUAUCCAUGGGAAAAUGUUAUUCUACUUCUGAAAUAUAUUACCUUUUUAUAUUUGAAUGAUUUUGUGUUGCUGAGGUAUGUUAUUUUAUCUAAUACAAUGCAUGUGCAGGUGUACCACUUGCUUUUGGAAUAGAUUAUGUCUAUUCUGGGGCAGGCAGUUGUCCCUAUUGUACAGCUGAUGUGACGUCAAAUCCUGAACACUUUAAGGCAAAGCAUUUAAAGCAUGCCAUAUAUUUUGAGGAUAACAUUUUGUUCUCUGGCUUUAGGUAGGCAUAGGCAUUAGCUUUAAAAAAAUAAUGUUAUUGUCUAUACCUACAAAAAGGUUAAGUGGUUCAACAGUAAAUUCAUCUUUCUCUAUAUAAAAUAACCCCUUUUUUUUUUCUUAAGCUCAAUUGCAAUAAAGAUGAUUCCAGGAUCUUGGAAGCUUGUUAAAAACUUCUGCUGGCUUGACGGUGUAACAAAAUGGAGAACGAAGUCUGAGCCAUGCCAGGAUUUUUUCAAAAUGUACACACUGCAGCCCUGCAGACACUACAAUGAGGUUUACAAAAACUGCUUACCAGGCUAUGUUGGAAGAGGAAAACGAGGAGAGAUGCAAGGCUUUUACUCAGAAAACACCCAUCCAGGCUUUUGCAGUGAUGAUUGCAAGAUGCUGGAGGAGUAACUCAGUAUAACUCAGUUCUGAUCUGAAAGUCUCGUAAAUCCCUCAGGAUUGUUGUUAGUGAUUCUGAUUUUUGAUUAACAUUUUUGUCUACUUGCUUACUGGAUGUAUUUUAUACUGUUUACAUUGUAUAACACUGACUUUGACAACAUACCAAGCCUGUUACAAAUUUAACCGCUACUUUAUUUAGAGAUAUAGAUAGAUAAACAGCUAUGUCGUUGUUUCCUGAAAAUA